rnacentral:rRNA from 1 species
AACGAACGCUGGCGGCAUGCCUAAUACAUGCAAGUCGAACGGAAUGGGGCAACCCAUUUAGUGGCGGACGGGUGAGUAACGCGUGGGAACCUGCCCAUCGGUACGGAAUAACCUCGGGAAACUGUGGCUAAUACCGUAUGCUCCCUUCGGGGGCAAGAUUUAUCGCCGGUGGAGGGGCCCGCGUCGGAUUAGGUAGUUGGUGAGGUAACGGCUCACCAAGCCUUCGAUCCGUAGCUGGUCUGAGAGGAUGAUCAGCCACACUGGGACUGAGACACGGCCCAGACUCCUACGGGAGGCAGCAGUAGGGAAUAUUGGACAAUGGGGGCAACCCUGAUCCAGCAAUGCCGCGUGAGUGAUGAAGGCCUUAGGGUUGUAAAGCUCUUUUGGCAGGGACGAUGAUGACGGUACCUGCAGAAUAAGCCCCGGCUAACUUCGUGCCAGCAGCCGCCGUAA